rnacentral:rRNA from 1 species
CAGCAGCCGCGGUAAUACCGGCGGCCCGAGUGGCGGCCACUAUUAUUGGGCUUAAAGCGUCCGUAGCCGGGUUGGUUAGUCUCCCGGGAAAUCUGGCCGCUUAACGGUCAGAAUUCCGGGAGAUACUGCCAGCCUAGGGACCGGGAGAGGCCGAGGGUAUUCCCGGGGUAGGGGUGAAAUCCUGUAAUCCCGGGAGGACCACCUGUGGCGAAGGCGCUCGGCUGGAACGGGUCCGACGGUGAGGGACGAAGGCCAGGGGAGCGAACCGGAUUAGAUACCCGGGUAGUCCUGGCUGUAAACGAUGCGGACUAGGUGUCGGGCAAGCUAAGGGCUUGUCCGGUGCCGCAGGGAAGCCGUUAAGUCCGCCGCCUGGGGAGUACGGCCGCAAGGCUGAAACUUAAAGGAAUUGGCGGG